rnacentral:rRNA from 1 species
AGAGUUUGAUCCUGGCUCAGAACGAACGCUGGCGGCAGGCUUAACACAUGCAAGUCGAACGCACCUUUCGGGGUGAGUGGCAGACGGGUGAGUAACGCGUGGGAACCUACCUUUCGGUUCGGAAUAACUCGGGGAAACUCGAGCUAAUACCGGAUACGCCCUUCGGGGGAAAGAUUUAUCGCCGAUAGAUGGGCCCGCGUUGGAUUAGCUAGUUGGUGAGGUAAUGGCUCACCAAGGCUACGAUCCAUAGCUGGUCUAAGAGGAUGAUCAGCCACACUGGGACUGAGACACGGCCCAGACUCCUACGGGAGGCAGCAGUGGGGAAUAUUGGACAAUGGGGGAAACCCUGAUCCAGCCAUGCCGCGUGAGUGAUGAAGGCCUUAGGGUUGUAAAGCUCUUUCGCUAGGGAAGAUAAUGACGGUACCUAGUAAAGAAGCCCCGGCUAGCUUCGUGCCAGCCGCCGCGGUAAUAC